rnacentral:rRNA from 1 species
UACGAAGGGGGCUAGCGUUGCUCGGAAUCACUGGGCGUAAAGCGCACGUAGGCGGAUUGUUAAGUCAGGGGUGAAAUCCUGGAGCUCAACUCCAGAACUGCCUUUGAUACUGGCGAUCUUGAGUCCGGGAGAGGUGAGUGGAACUGCGAGUGUAGAGGUGAAAUUCGUAGAUAUUCGCAAAGAACACCAGUGGCGAAGGCGGCUCACUGGCCCGGUACUGACGCUGAGGUGCGAAAGCGUGGGAGCAAC